AUUGAACGCUGGCGGCAGGCCUAACACAUGCAAGUCGAGCGAGCGGCGGACGGGUGAGUAAUGUCUGGGAAACUGCCUGAUGGAGGGGGAUAACUACUGGAAACGGUAGCUAAUACCGCAUACCAUCAGAUGUGCCCAGGUGGGAUUAGCUAGUAGGUGGGGUAACGGCUCACCUAGGCGACGAUCCCUAGCUGGUCUGCGAGGAUGACCAGCCACACUGGAACUGAGACACGGUCCAGAGUCCUACGGGAGGCAGCAGUGGGGAAUAUUGCGCAAUGGGGGCAAGCCUGAUGCAGCCAUGCCGCGUGUGUGAAGAAGGCCUUCGGGUUGUAAAGCACUUUCAGCGGGGAAGCGAAAACCGGAGAAGAAGCACCGGCUAACUCCGUGCCAGCAGCCGCGGUAAUAG
rnacentral:rRNA from 1 species